rnacentral:rRNA from 1 species
AACCCAAUGUGAACGUUACCAAACUGUUGCCUCGGCGGGAUCUCUGCCCCGGGUGCGUCGCAGCCCCGGACCAAGGCGCCCGCCGGAGGACCAACCAAAACUCUUAUUGUAUACCCCCUCGCGGGUUUUUUUAUAAUCUGAGCCUUCUCGGCGCCUCUCGUAGGCGUUUCGAAAAUGAAUCAAAACUUUCAACAACGGAUCUCUUGGUUCUGGCAUCGAUGAAGAACGCAGCGAAAUGCGAUAAGUAAUGUGAAUUGCAGAAUUCAGUGAAUCAUCGAAUCUUUGAACGCACAUUGCGCCCGCCAGUAUUCUGGCGGGCAUGCCUGUCCGAGCGUCAUUUCAACCCUCGAACCCCUCCGGGGGGUCGGCGUUGGGGAUCGGCCCUGCCUUGGCGGUGGCCGUCUCCGAAAUACAGUGGCGGUCUCGCCGCAGCCUCUCCUGCGCAGUAGUUUGCACACUCGCAUCGGGAGCGCGGCGCGUCCACAGCCGUUAAACACCCAACUUCUGAAAUGUUGACCUCGGAUCAGGUAGGAAUACCCGCUGAACUUAAGCAU